rnacentral:rRNA from 1 species
UACGGGGGGAGCAAGCGUUGUUCGGAAUCACUGGGCGUAAAGGGCGUGUAGGCGGUUCGGUAAGUGGGAUGUGAAAUGCCCGGGCUCACCCCGGGACCUGCAUCUCAUACUGCUGAGCUUGAGUACAGGAGAGGGUGGGGGAAUUCCUGGUGUAGCGGUGAAAUGCGUAGAUAUCUGGAGGAACACCGGUGGCGAAGGCGGCAUCCUGGACCAAUAUUGACGCUGAGGAGCGAAAGCCAGGGGAGCAAACGGG